AACGAACGCUGCCGGCAGGCUUAACACAUGCAAGUCGAACGGUUGUAGCAAUACAGCAGUGGCAGACGGGUGAGUAACACGUGGGAACCUUCCUAGGGGUACGGAACAACUCCGGGAAACUUGAGCUAAUACCGUAUACGUCCGUGAGGAGAAAGAUUUAUCGCCCUUAGACGGGCCCGCGUCGGAUUAGCUAGUUGGUGGGGUAACGGCCUACCAAGGCGACGAUCCGUAGCUGAUCUUAGAGGAUGAUCAGCCACACUGGGACUGAGACACGGCCCAGACUCCUACGGGAGGCAGCAGUGGGGAGUCUUGGACCAUGGGCGCAAGCCUGAUCCAGCCAUUCCGCGAGAGUGAAGAAGGUCUUCGGAUUGUAAAGCUCUUUUGCCAGGGACGAUAAUGACGGUACCUGGAGAAUAAGCCCCGGCAAACUUCGUGCCAGCCGCCGCAGUAA
rnacentral:rRNA from 1 species